rnacentral:snRNA from 2 species
GGAUGUGAGGGCAAUCUGGCUGCAACAUCUGUCACCCCAUUGAUCGCCAGGGUUGAUUCGGCUGAUCUGGCUGGCUAGGUGGGUGUCCCCUUCUUCCCUCAGAGCUCCAGUGUGUCCCUCCCAAAGCUGCAUGAUUGGUAGAAGAGGAAGACCAUCCCCAAUAAAGGAGGACUGUUCUUUCGGUCAAAAGUACAUGAGUAGCUCUACUCCCCUGCUAGUACCUCCAAAAAAGCUCCUUUUAAGUGAAUUUUAUGGACAUUUUAUAACCUGUGAAAUAAUGUCUGCAUAUUAUAGCA